AGGCGGGGCCCGGGGCGGCGGGCGCGGGCAGCGAGUGAGCCCCAGACAACCUCAUCCCCCUGGACCUGACGGAGAUGCACAGCUGCCCUGUCCAUCACCCGGCCGCCAGGACACCCACCUGUCCCCUCACUUGGAUAAAUGUCUCGUUUUGGA